GUCCCAAGCAAAAAAUUGUGAAAUUUCACGCUCAAAAGCAUAUUGGAAAAAGUCACGUAAUCGAUAUCUUCACUGAUGAAGAUAUGGAAAAUAUCUCACUGUGUAUUUUUCAGUAUCUCACUCUCUACUAUAUAAUAAAUAUCGAUAUUAUCGCAAUAUUUUCACUCGUGAUUAUCGUGUCGAAAGUAGAAAAAUGAGUCGUGAUAUAUCUUAAUUAUCGUUAUGGUCGAUUACUAUCGUAUAACAUUGCUUCGUAUGAGCAAGAACUGUCCUGCCGCAGAUGGUGGACCGACCGUUAUCAGGGUGAGAACUCAUGAUAAUGUUGAUUCCGAUAUAUUAGCGAUACAACAUAUUUUGAUCAAUGAAACUGCAGCGUACACCAGCGUAUUAAUAUUGUGCUACAAUUUAAUGUGUAAUUAGAGUAUUGUUAAAACUUGUAGACAAGCGGAUACUGUAAGCUUGCUACAAGCACAGACUACAAGCUAAGUUAGUAUGGUUAUCUAUUUGAGUCUAUACUCGAAACAAAUAUGAAUGCAUGCCGGCAUGGCCAUGGCCUUUCAUCGUCACGUGCGUAUUAGCCAUUUCCCAAAGUCCUGGAUCUAGUCGCGCGAAUCUCAUGUUGGAGGGACAAGAAAUAUGGCAGCACACAUUUAUAUUAAAUGUUUAAUGUAAAAAAGUGAUACGUUUGAUAGUAAAUACUUCUACUCUUUCACAUAUUUGACGCCUGUCACCAUAUGUUUUGUCCCUCCAAACAAUCCCAGAAUGCACUGUAAUCUCUUUUGGGAAAAGGCUAAUUGCAUUUGCGCCAAAUCAACCAAUAGUAAUUUCUAAAUUGUGCAUGUUAUUGAGAGACACGCGUAAAAUCUUGUUCUUAGUUGUUGCCAAGUCUGCAACAAGUUGUUAUCAUCUUGUGACAAGGUUGAUGAGGCCAACAUACUCGCAACAGAAUGUUCCAACAAGUCUGAUAUCGUCUGCACGUGAUAAGUUGUUAACAAGUUGAUGACAACAAGCUCGUAUCAACUUGUCACGAAACUGUAUAGUUAGUCUAGUUGGAACAACUUGUAGCAAGCUGUUACCGCGUCGUCAACCUUGUAAAAAGAUGACAACAUCUUGUUCCAGACUGGUCACAACAACUGGAAUUAAAAAGCAGAGCGAACACAUUUUGAUAUGGGCUUAACAACAACCUUGCUAUACAACUUGUUUGCAGAUCUAUAACAACUUGUGCGUCCUUACGUGCGCAAGCCAAAACAUUGCUAUUGGUUAAAUUAGUUGCGCUAAAUGGCAUACACACGCCACAAAGAAGACGCCAAUGUAAAUUUUUUUCCUAGACGAAAAAAAAGGCAGAUCACGAGUUGUGACUCAUAGGGCUUAUUGAGACUUAGUUACUUUAAUUGUUUUGUUUUGUUUUGUUUCAUGAAAACAACACGUUUGUUUCUGCUAAACAAAACAAUUACUAUCGCUAUCGCCUAUUCGCUUGUCUUGCCUCUCUUUUCCCUUGCUAGCGCAUGCUUAGAAAGUUUACCCGCUGGGCAUUGUAUUAUGACUAACUGGCGUCACAAUCUUCAACAUCAAUUUGUUUAAGAAUAUCUCCCAUCGGAUACGCCAGGUUGUAUCUUCGUUCGUUCACGUAGAACCUUCGGAAACAUCCGAUAAACUGUAGGUAUGCGAUUGGAACCUGCUCUCUGGCAAUGAUUCU
rnacentral:lncRNA from 1 species